CCAGAUCCAAAAGGACAUAAAUGGUAUAUACUCACUUAUAAGUAGACUUUAGCCAUAAACUACAGGAUAACCAGCUAUAAUCAACAGACCCAAAGAAGCCAAAUAAUGAGGAAGGCCCAAGGGAAGAUGGCUGAAUCUUCCACAGAAGGGGAAACAAAGUAGAUAUUGGAGACAGGAACAUAGUAUAAUUGUUUUCUGAGAGGCUCCACUCAACAGCCAAUGGAAAGAGAUGCAGAGACUGGCACCAAAUCAUUAGAUGGAGCUGAAUCUUAGAAGAAGCAGGAAGCAGCUGGAGUUGUUGAUUGACGUGACCGAAAUGAGAACCUAUGUACACUUGUCAGAUUCACAUCGUAGAGUGAACACAGUCAGAGCCACUGGAUCAAGCCCACCUGGAGCUUACACACUUGUUAAAAACUUGCAUAUAUUCUUCUAAAUAUUAUUCCCCAGAAGCCUGACAUAUUUUGAGUAUCCUGACAUACUUUGGUUUUGCCUAUUUUCAAGAGGAGGGCACAAACGUAGUGGAGACCACCUUACGUUUCUCUUCAUCACAUGCACCUCUCUCUGCCAUCAUCUUCUGCAGACCAUUGGAAAUCCAGAUUCUCAGGCCCCACUUCAGACCUGAUGCCCCGGAAAUUCUGCAGCCCUAGUGAAGUGUGCGUUAUAAGCCUUCCAGACACAGGGGCUUAAGGAGCAUGGCUACUCUCAUUGGUCUUUUAAUUAA